rnacentral:rRNA from 1 species
UACGAAGGGGGCUAGCGUUGUUCGGAAUUACUGGGCGUAAAGCGCACGUAGGCGGACUAUUAAGUCAGGGGUGAAAUCCCGGGGCUCAACCCCGGAACUGCCUUUGAUACUGGUAGUCUUGAGUCCGGAAGAGGUGAGUGGAAUUCCGAGUGUAGAGGUGAAAUUCGUAGAUAUUCGGAGGAACACCAGUGGCGAAGGCGGCUCACUGGUCCGGUACUGACGCUGAGGUGCGAAAGCGUGGGGAGCAAAC